UCCGUAGGCGGGCUAAUAAGUCAGGGGUGAAAUCCCACAGCUUAACUGUGGAACUGCCUUUGAUACUGUUAGUCUUGAGUUAUAUGGAAGUAGAUAGAAUGUGUAGUGUAGCGGUGAAAUGCAUAGAUAUUACACAGAAUACCGAUUGCGAAGGCGGUCUACUACGUAUAUACUGACGCUAAUGGACGAAAGCGUGGGGAGCGAACAGGAUUAGAUACCCUGGUAGUCC
rnacentral:rRNA from 1 species